rnacentral:rRNA from 1 species
AAAGGGGAACGGGAGAGGAGGAGCUUACCAUGCAAGUCGAACGGUAGCAGAUCUAGCUUGCUAGAUGCUGACGAGUGGCGGACGGGUGAGUAACGCGUGGGAAUUUACCUUUUAGUGGGGGAUAACUUUAGGAAACUGAAGCUAAUACCGCAUAAGACCUGAGGGUUAAAGAGGGCCUCUAUAUAUAAGCUCUUGCUAGGAGAUGAGCCCGCGUUGGAUUAGCUAGUUGGUAGGGUAAAGGCUUACCAAGGCGACGAUCCAUAGCUGGUUUGAGAGAAUGGCCAGCCACACUGGGACUGAGACACGGCCCAGACUCCUACGGGAGGCAGCAGUGGGGAAUAUUGGACAAUGGGGGAAACCCUGAUCCAGCAAUGCCACGUGUGUGAAGAAGGCCUUAGGGUUGUAAAGCACUUUCAGCGGGGAGGAAGGUAAGCUAAUUAAUACUUGGCUUAAUUGACGUUACCUGCAGAAGAAGCACCGGCUAACUCCGUGCCAGCAGCCGCGGUAAUACGGAGGGUGCGAGCGUUAAUCGGAAUUACUGGGCGUAAAGGGCGCGUAGGCGGAAGAUUAAGUUGGAUGUGAAAUCCCAGGGCUCAACCUUGGAACUGCAUCCGAAACUGGUAUUCUAGAGUAUGGUAGAGGAAAGUGGAAUUUCAGGUGUAGCGGUGAAAUGCGUAGAUAUCUGAAGGAACACCGGUGGCGAAGGCGACUUUCUGGAUCAAUACUGACGCUGAGGCGCGAAAGCAUGGGUAGCGAACAGGAUUAGAUACCCUGGUAGUCCAUGCUGUAAACGAUGUCAACUAGCCGUUGGAUUCCCUUGAGGAGUUUAGUGGCGUAGCUAACGCGAUAAGUUGACCGCCUGGGGAGUACGGCCGCAAGGUUAAAACUCAAGGAAUUGACGGGGGCCCGCACAAGCGGUGGAGCAUGUGGUUUAAUUCGAUGCAACGCGAAGAACCUUACCUGGUCUUGACAUCCUAAGAAGUUGAUAGAGAUAUUGAUGUGCCUUCGGGAGCUUAAAGACAGGUGCUGCAUGCUGUCGUCAGCUCGUGUCGUGAGAUGUUGGAUCAGUCCCGCGACGAGCGCCAACCUUAUGCAUAGGUUGCAGCACGUUGAACGUUGGGUGACUCUAGGAGACCUGCCGGUGCAUUAACGGAGACGUGGGACGUACCUUCAAGGUCAUCAUGGCCCUUACGACCAGGGCUACACACGUGCUACAAUGGGGCGUACAGACGGAGGCGAAGCAGCGAUGUGGAGCGAACCUGAGAAAGCGCCUCGUAGUCCGGAUUGGAGUCUGCAACUCGACUCCAUGAAGUCGGAAUCGCUAGUAAUCGCGAAUCAGCAUGUCGCGGUGAAUACGUUCCCGGGCCUUGUACACACCGCCCGUCACACCAUGGGAGUGAAUUGCACCAGAAGGGGCUAGGCUAACUUUAGGAGGCCGUCAUCCACGUCUCUCACAGCAUCCUUAG